UCCUUGUGACUUAGCUGGUAAAGAAUCUGCUUGUAAUGCAGGAGACCUAGGUUCGAUCCCUGGGUUAGGAA
rnacentral:tRNA from 1 species